rnacentral:rRNA from 1 species
AUUGAACGCUGGCGGAAUGCUUUACACAUGCAAGUCGAACGGCAGCACGGGGGCAACCUUGGUGGCGAGUGGCGAACGGGUGAGUAAUGUAUCGGAACGUACCCAGUCGUGGGGGAUAACUAUCCGAAAGGAUAGCUAAUACCGCAUACGUCCUGAGGGAGAAAGCGGGGGAUCGCAAGACCUCGCGCGAUUGGAGCGGCCGAUAUCGGAUUAGCUAGUUGGUGAGGUAAAGGCUCACCAAGGCGACGAUCCGUAGCGGGUCUGAGAGGACGACCCGCCACACUGGAACUGAGACACGGUCCAGACUCCUACGGGAGGCAGCAGUGGGGAAUUUUGGACAAUGGGGGAAACCCUGAUCCAGCCAUUCCGCGUGAGUGAAGAAGGCCUUCGGGUUGUAAAGCUCUUUCAGCAGGAGCGAAACGGUCGGCUUUAAUAAAGUCGGCUAAUGACGGUAC